rnacentral:lncRNA from 1 species
CUAAUUCCAUGCCUCUUGUGUUCUGUCAUUAUGCAGCACCUUAAGGAACCCAACUGGAAAAGAGGCUCAGGGGAUGGGUGUCACUGCACCAAGGCAAGGUCACACAGCCAAAGGAAAAAGACAGGCAGCUGGAUCUAGCCACCAACCAAAAUGAUGGGCCUGGCCAGGAUUGCACAUACAGAGAAGAACAGAGAAAUGCCAGCCCUCCAGGGCAGCCACCCAGCAGCUCUCCUAACUGGUUCCCACCCUCUUCUCACCUCACCCACGUUGGACCAUCCAUCUCCUCAUUAGUCACACACCCUGAAAGCCGCGCAGAAAAACACGAAGUCUGAGCACAGUCUGGCCCAACCCUGGAACGGAGCCUGAUGCCUGUGACAUCCAUCAACUGGUUAAUUUCAGAAAAGCAUCCAUUUGCACCAGCUGCUUACAAAGC